AUUCCAGCUCCAAUAGCGUAUAUUAAAGUUGUUGCAGUUAAAAAGCUCGUAGUUGGAUUUCUGGCUAGGUGAAGCGUUCCCCAAGUUGGGUGCGAUGCGGCGCCUUGCCAUCCUUCUGUUAACCUGGGAAGCCUUAACGGCGGCCCACGGGGCUCAGAUAUUUUACCUUGAGAAAAUUAGAGUGUUUCAGGCAGGCUAGCGCCGGAAUACAUUAGCAUGGAAUAAUAGAAUAGGACUUCUGCCUCUUCUGUUGGUCUGAGGGGUUCAAGUAAUGAAUAAUAGGGAUAGUUGGGGGCAUUAGUACUUAACUGUCAGAGGUGAAAUUCUCGGAUUUGUUAAAGACUAACUUAUGCGAAAGCAUUUGCCAAGGAUGUUUUCAUUG
rnacentral:rRNA from 1 species